rnacentral:lncRNA from 1 species
UUAAUAUAUAUUAUAUUUUAUUAUGCACUAUUGUAUAAUACUAAUAAUGUCCUUUAUGGUCAUUUUGUCAUACAAAAGUACUUUCUCAGUUUGUUUACCAAACAAAUGUUAAAGUGCCACAGCACUUUAGAAAUGUAGUUACCAAACAGCAAACAGCUUUUUAUAAAAGCUCUACUUCCAACAGCUCUACUUCCAACAGCUCUACUGCCAACAGCUCCCCCAAACAGGGCCUUAUUCAAGAACACUCUUGAUUUAAAAAUGUUCUUGCACUUCAUUAUAGAAAGGAUGUAAAGAACCCGUAUUUUCAGUUCAUAAUUGAUUUGAUAUAUAUCUACUACAAGAGAA